rnacentral:rRNA from 1 species
UAGUCUGCAACCCGACUACACGAAGCUGGAAUCGCUAGUAAUCGCGGAUCAGAAUGCCGCGGUGAAUACGUUCCCGGGUCUUGUACACACCGCCCGUCACACCAUGGGAGUCAGUAACGCCCGAAGUCAGUGACCUAACCGAAAGGGAGGAGCUGCCGAAGGCGGGACGGAUGACUGGGGUGAAGUCGUAACAAGGUAGC